rnacentral:rRNA from 1 species
AUACGGAGGGUGCAAGCGUUAAUCGGAAUUACUGGGCGUAAAGGGUACGUAGGCGGUUAGAUAAGUUGGAUGUGAAAGCCCUGGGCUCAACCUAGGAACUGCAUUCAAAACUGUCUAACUAGAGUGUAUAAGAGGUUAGCGGAAUUCCAGGUGUAGCAGUGAAAUGCGUAGAUAUCUGGAGGAACAUCAGUGGCGAAGGCGGCUAACUGGUAUAACACUGACGCUGAGGUACGAAAGCGUGGGGAGCGAACGGGAUUAGAAACCCCAGUAGUCC